UACAGCCAUAUCAUCUUGAAAUACUGGUUCUCCUAUGAUCACCGAAGUUAAGCUAUGUCGAGCCUGGUCAGUACCUAGAUGGGUGGCCGCUUGGGAAUAUCAGGUAUUGU